GAUGAACGCUAGCUACAGGCUUAACACAUGCAAGUCGCGGGACCGGCGCACGGGUGAGUAACGCGUAUCCAACCUGCCCUUCACCACGGGAUAACCCGGCGAAAGUCGGACUAAUACCGUAUGGUGAAGGAUGGGGAUGCGUCCGAUUAGCUUGACGGCGGGGUAACGGCCCACCGUGGCUACGAUCGGUAGGGGUUCUGAGAGGAAGGUCCCCCACACUGGAACUGAGACACGGUCCAGACUCCUACGGGAGGCAGCAGUGAGGAAUAUUGGUCAAUGGGCGUAAGCCUGAACCAGCCAAGUAGCGUGCAGGACGACGGCCUAUGGGUUGUAAACUGCUUUUAUGCGGGGAUAGGUACCGCAUGAAUAAGGACCGGCUAAUUCCGUGCCAGCAGCCGCGGUAAUAC
rnacentral:rRNA from 1 species